GAUGAACGCUGGCGGCGUGCCUAAUACAUGCAAGUCGAGCGAACAGAUGAGGAGCUUGCUCCUCUGACGUUAGCGGCGGACGGGUGAGUAACACGUGGAUAACCUACCUAUAAGACUGGGAUAACUUCGGGAAACCGGAGCUAAUUCCGGAUAAUAUAUUGAACCGCAUGGUUCAAUAGUGAAAGACGGUUUUGCUGUCACUUAUAGAUGGAUCCGCGCCGCAUUAGCUAGUUGGUAAGGUAACGGCUUACCAAGGCAACGAUGCGUAGCCGACCUGAGAGGGUGAUCGGCUACACUGGAACUGAGACACGGUCCAGACUCCUACGGGAGGCAGCAGUAGGGAAUCUUCCGCAAUGGGCGAAAGCCUGACGGAGCAACGCCGCGUGAGUGAUGAAGGUCUUCGGAUCGUAAAACUCUGUUAUUAGGGAAGAACAAAUGUGUAAGUAACUAUGCACGUCUUGACGGUACCUAAUCAGAAAGCCACGGCUAACUACGUG
rnacentral:rRNA from 1 species